rnacentral:misc_RNA from 1 species
CAUACCUGUUCGAGCGUCAUUACACCCCUCAAACAUAGGUUGAUGUUGGGCAGUUGCCGUUAAAGGCAUGCCUAAAAUAUAGUGGCAGUUUCCUGAAACCACAGGCACACAGUUGUUGCGAUGCUGGUAGAUGGGGCCUAGCCUUAACUAAUAUUCUGAAUGUUGACCUCGGAUCAGGUAGGGAUACCCGCUGAACUUAA